GACGAACGCUGGCGGCGUGCUUAACACAUGCAAGUCGAACGCUGAAGCUUGGUGCUUGCACUGGGUGGAUGAGUGGCGAACGGGUGAGUAAUACGUGAGUAACCUGCCCUUGACUCUGGGAUAAGCCUGGGAAACUGGGUCUAAUACUGGAUAUGACAUGCCACUGCAUGGUGGUGUGUGGAAAGGGUUUUACUGGUUUUGGAUGGGCUCACGGCCUAUCAGCUUGUUGGUGGGGUAAUGGCCUACCAAGGCGACGACGGGUAGCCGGCCUGAGAGGGUGACCGGCCAUACUGGGACUGAGACACGGCCCAGACUCCUACGGGAGGCAGCAGUGGGGAAUAUUGCACAAUGGGCGGAAGCCUGAUGCAGCGACGCCGCGUGAGGGAUGACGGCCUUCGGGUUGUAAACCUCUUUCAGCACGGAAGAAGCGAGAGUGACGGUACGUGCAGAAGAAGCGCCGGCUAACUACGUG
rnacentral:rRNA from 1 species